rnacentral:lncRNA from 1 species
UGACCUCUGUGCUAAGUGCUCAUUCCUGGAACAGGAAGCAUUUCAAGAGAGACUUGAGUGGAAGUGUUCCUGAUGCUAAUGGCACAGGAGGAGCUGGGGCAUUUGGGCAGAUGGCCUGGCAUCACAAAGGGGUGCGUGUCAGCCAUUGUCCUGUCUGCAGGGAUGGGUGGAAAAGCAUCCUGCAGGGCUGCGGAAGGGGAAAAGAGUGAAGAAUUACUUACUGUCAGCUGAGGUUUGGGAGGGUCACCAAGCUUAAGAAGGUACAUCUAGAAUCAAGUUAAGUCUAAAACUAAUCUGUGUGGCAAAUGGUCAAUGCAAAGCCUGGCUGUUACCACAAGGGAGGGCAAUCUCAAAGCAAGCUGGUUCCAAAUCACUUGCAAAUCCAAGGGCAGAACAGUUCAGGGAAGUUCAACAGGAAGCGGGCCGGGAGUAAUACAGAAGCCAGCAAACGCAACCUGCACGUCUCGUCUUUACCCAGCCCCUACCAUUUAGGAGAUGAGCAUCCUGAGGGAGAAGGAGCCUGGCACCUCAGUAAGGACCUGUGGUUCAGUGUAACUAGACAGGGUUCUGGAUGGUGAGAGGUGGUGUUAGUGACGGAGGAGCAGGGCCACAUGAAGAGCUUUGAUUAACAUUUGGCUGGCCACAACAGGAGGGUUAAGGCAGAGAUUCUUCAGCCAGAAUUUAAAAAUCAGCAUCUGAAGGCCAAGGGUGGACAUGUGUACAAGUGCCAGUGGAAAAUGGCUUUUCUGGAAUAUCAGGUUUGGUCCUAAGAGACUAAGGGCACUCCACGUGGUGAGCAAUAAAUCUGGAUUCUGCUGUGUUUAAUUAAGCGUGUCACCAGCAUGGAAUGCGACCAUGGAUUGGCCUGUGACGAGCCUCCUUCUCCUAGAGAGAGAAGUUCUAGCCUCGUCUUCUGCUCCUGUGGAGUUUUCCAUUGCUUGGAAAUGGUUUGUAAGGUGAUGGAGUCCCAUGGAUGCCAGCUGGCAAAGGAAGAUCAGAGAAGGAGGAGAAGUUGAGUCAGUGGAGGGGAAAGAUUGCUGGAUGAUAUUUUCUUCACAGCUGUAGUGUCAAUAAAUAAAGACUUUGAUCACCCAUAAAGACCAAG